rnacentral:misc_RNA from 1 species
CCGAGUUUACAACUCCCAAACCCCUGUGAACAUACCUAUACUGUUGCCUCGGCGGAUCAGCCCGCUCCCCGGUAAAAAGGGACGGCCCGCCCGAGGACCCCUAAACUCUGUUUUUAUAUGUAACUUCUGAGUAAAACAACAUAAAUAAAUCA